GACGAACGCUGGCGGCGUGCUUAACACAUGCAAGUCGAACGCUGAAGCUCAGCUUUUGUUGGGUGGAUGAGUGGCGAACGGGUGAGUAACACGUGAGUAACCUGCCCCCUUCUUUGGGAUAACGCCCGGAAACGGGUGCUAAUACUGGAUAUUCACUGGUCUUCGCAUGGGGGUUGGUGGAAAGGGUUUUUCUGGUGGGGGAUGGGCUCGCGGCCUAUCAGCUUGUUGGUGGGGUGAUGGCCUACCAAGGCUUUGACGGGUAGCCGGCCUGAGAGGGUGACCGGUCACAUUGGGACUGAGAUACGGCCCAGACUCCUACGGGAGGCAGCAGUGGGGAAUAUUGCACAAUGGGCGCAAGCCUGAUGCAGCGACGCCGCGUGAGGGAUGGAGGCCUUCGGGUUGUGAACCUCUUUCGCUCAUGGUCAAGCCGCAACAAUGGUUGUGGUGAGGGUAGUGGGUGAAGAAGCGCCGGCUAACUACGUG
rnacentral:rRNA from 1 species